rnacentral:rRNA from 1 species
UACGGGGGGAGCAAGCGUUGUUCGGAUUUACUGGGCGUAAAGGGCGCGUAGGCGGCCAGCACAAGUCAGUUGUGAAAUCUCCGAGCUUAACUCGGAAAGGUCAACUGAUACUGUGCGGCUAGAGUGCGGAAGGGGCAACUGGAAUUCUUGGUGUAGCGGUGAAAUGCGCAGAUAUCAGGAGGAACACCUAUUGCGAAGGCAGCUCGCUGGGACGUAACUGACGCUGAGACGCGAAAGCGUGGGGAGCAAACAGG